GCAGGUGGUAUUUUCAAUGUAAUUAGGAGGGGACGUUCUCGUUCCAGAAAGCAUUUGAUUGGACGUCACUUCACUAUUUUGCCUGUCAUCUGUUUAGCCGGAAGAAUGGACUAUGGAUAAAUGUUUUCAAUGAGAACACAUGGACUACAGCAAGUAAAAUGUUUGUUUUAUCUUCAAAAGUCCAAGAAACUCAAGUAGGAUGGAAAUUCAAGAGGUAGAUGGAGAGAUAUCAGUCAACCCCUAUGAGACAGCCUUUGAUCCCUAUUCCCUCGCCCCAUCCCAAGAUCCAGAAGGUAGAGGAAAUCUCAGAUGCUGCCUGCCUUUCUCUGUCCAGGUAAUCAGUCCAGGUGCUUAUCCAAAAGUCUUCUCUGGAGACUGAUAUUCUUACACACACCAAGAUUUUACAUUCAGCAUGAAGAUGCAUCUCUCUGGUGGCCGUCCUGAUGAACCUGGUGUGUGUGAGAAGCUUUGGUUGAGCGUAAUGUCCAGAGCUUAAAAAUAC
ensembl:lncRNA